rnacentral:lncRNA from 1 species
AAUGGAUAAAAAGUACCUUGAUAAAUUAUCGUUUGUAUGGUCUGAAGAUGCAAAGAACCAUUUUACAAGUUCACAAAGUGAGAUGGAUAUACUUGGAAAGUUACAACCUUCCAAGAACUUGAAAAGGCUAGAUAUACAAAGUGAGAUGGAUAUACUUGGAAAGUUACAACCUUCCAAGAACUUGAAAAGGCUAGAUAUUGAUGGAUACAGGGGCACACUAUUUCCAGAAUGGGUUGGACAUCCUUCCUACCAAAAUUUGACUGAGGUAUCUCUGUCUG